rnacentral:lncRNA from 1 species
GUGAACAGUUAAGAUUGAGAAACGGUGAAGGCGAUUCGCUGACGCUUCUCGCUCCGAUCGACCAGAAACCACCGGCCAUUUUUUUGUUGCCGUGCACGACGUAUAUAUAUGUUCGUCGGAUCGAUCGAGGUGAUCAGCGUCAGAUUAUGUCGGAUAUAGGGAAAAGGAUCAGUUUUUGAUGAUCUAAUUAAAUUAAGGAGAGCAACGUCAGAGACGGAGUAGCAUUUGUACGUCAUGC